rnacentral:rRNA from 1 species
AUUGAACGCUAGCGGGAUGCUUUACACAUGCAAGUCGAACGAGUGGCGGACGGGUGCGUAAUAUAUAGGAACGUGCCCAGUAGCGGGGUAUAACUACUCGAAAGAGUGUCUAAUCCCGCAUACUAUUGGAGCGGCCGAUAUCGGAUUAGCUAGUUGGUGGGGUAAAGGAUCACAAAGGCAACGAUCCGUAGCUGGUUUGAGAGGACGACCAGCCACACUGGGACUGAGACACGGCCCAGACUCCUACGGGAGGCAGCAGUGGGGAAUUUUGGACAAUGGGGGAAAACCUGAUGCAGCCAUCCCGCGUGUAUGAGAAGGCCUUCGGGUUGUAAAGUACUUUUGGCAGGGAGGCGGUAUCGGCAGAAUAAGCACCGGCUAACUACGUGCCAGCCGCCGCGGUAAUAC